rnacentral:rRNA from 1 species
ACAAGCAGCCAUAUCACCCUGCAACUCACAACUGGCAACCCGCCAAAGCUAAGCAGGUGUGAGCCUGGUCAGUACCUGGAUGGGAAACCUCCUGGGAAAAACUAAGGCUGCUGCUGGAA